UGUUAUUUUUAGCAUGGGUAGGUGUUGUGGUGCUUGUGCUUGUUGUAUUGUUUGGGAAUGGUGAUGUGCUAUGGCACAUAUGCAUGAGGUCUAAACCCUCAUGUCACCAUUUGACUUUUGAGAGUGUGCUUAUGCUAGUGUAGGUGUUGUUCUAGUGAAUAGCACAUGUGAUGAUGCACUAUUUGACUUGUGAGAGUGUGCUUAUGCUAGUGUAGG
rnacentral:lncRNA from 1 species